rnacentral:rRNA from 1 species
GGACUACUAGGGUAUCUAAUCCUGUUUGCUCCCCACGCUUUCGUGCAUGAGCGUCAGUGUUAUCCCAGGGGGCUGCCUUCGCCAUCGGUAUUCCUCCACAUAUCUACGCAUUUCACUGCUACACGUGGAAUUCUACCCCCCUCUGACACACUCUAGCCAUGCAGUCACGAAUGCAGUUCCCAGGUUAAGCCCGGGCAUUUCACAUCUGUCUUACAUAACCGCCUGCGCACGCUUUACGCCCAGUAAUUCCGAUUAACGCUUGCACCCUACGUAUUACCGCGGCGGCUGGCAC